AGUCGGGUACAGUUCAAGGGGCAGACACCCAACCCCGCCAGGACCGGAAGGUAGCAACGGUAAGUGAUCUGUUUCUGUGGGCUAGAAUACUCGAUUGGA
rnacentral:SRP_RNA from 1 species